UACGACCUGCUUAGUGCGUGAUAAGAUAUAUAAUUCGACCUACAAGCUUUAAUUGGAGUCUAAUAUCCUGUGUCGGUUUGCAGGCCUCCCUUGCUAUACUCUCUUAAUGAGACGAAAGUCGGACAGUUUAGCAAGGAUGUUGGAAGCAGUAAUGGCACAAUGAGGACACCACCCUGGAAUUUCGGGGCGCAAAUCAUUAUCUUACACGGCUCGGCGGGCAAAAU
rnacentral:other from 1 species